rnacentral:rRNA from 1 species
UACGGAGGGUGCGAGCGUUAUCCGGAAUUACUGGGUUUAAAGGGUGCGUAGGCGGCCCUGUAAGUCAGGAGUGAAAGUUUGCGGCUCAACCGUAAAAUUGCUUUUGAUACUGCGGGGCUAGAAUUAGGAUGAGGUCAGCGGAAUGUGGCAUGUAGCGGUGAAAUGCAUAGAUAUGCCAUAGAGCACCAAUUGCAAAGGCAGCUGGCUAGACCUGGAUUGACGCUGAGGCACGAAAGCGUGGGGAGCGAACAGG